GGGGGUGAAUGGUCUCGACUCCGGACGUCGAGGCAGGGGAAGCGGGCCGAGGAGCCAGGGUGAGCUCGAUAAUCCAUCCCUGGAAAACAAUAAGUGCCAACUCUACGCGCACUGCCGACGCUUACGCUCUCGCUGCCUAACAGCAGCUAAGUAAGCAAAGGCUGUCAGCCCGGGAACGCCUUCCGGCCCGGAUGCUGGCAUCAGUGAGGAAGGAUCACCGCUGGACCCGGUCACGGGGCCCAGCGGGACAUUCCACAGUGACUGGACCCGUCGGCGAUGUGCCUGAGGAAGCGCCGGGGCCGAGCAGAACGAGACACAGGCUGCGCCCGGAGAAGUCCUGUCAACACGACGGAGGACGCGGGUUCGAUUCCCGCCACCUCCACCA
rnacentral:tmRNA from 1 species